AUUGAACGCUGGCGGCAGGCCUAAUACAUGCAAGUAGAGCGGAGCGGCGGACGGGUGAGUAAUGCAUAGGAAUCUGACUGGUAGUGGGGGAUAAAGUCCGGAAACGGGCGCUAAUACCGCAUACUAUCAGAUGAGCCUAGGUCGGAUUAGCUAGUUGGUGGGGUAAAGGCAAACAAAGGCGACGAUCCGUAACUGGUCUGAGAGGAUGAUCAGUCACACUGGAACUGAGACACGGUCCAGACUCCUACGUGAGGCAGCAGUGGGGAAUAUUGGUCAAUGGGCGAAAGCCUGAUCCAGCCAUGCCGCGUGUGUGAAGAAGGUCUUCGGAUUGUAAAGCACUUUAAGUUGGGAGGCGUUACCAACAGAAUAAGCACCGGCUAACUUCGUGCCAGCAGCCGCGGUAAUUC
rnacentral:rRNA from 1 species